rnacentral:rRNA from 1 species
AGUGAACGCUGGCGGUAGGCCUAACACAUGCAAGUCGAACGGCAGCACAGUAAGAGCUUGCUCUUACGGGUGGCGAGUGGCGGACGGGUGAGGAAUACAUCGGAAUCUACUUUUUCGUGGGGGAUAACGUAGGGACACUUACGCUAAUACCGCAUACGACCUACGGGUGAAAGCAGGGGAUCUUCGGACCUUGCGCGAUUGUAUGAGCCGAUGUCGGAUUAGCUAGUUGGCGGGUUAAAGGCCCACCAAGGCGACGAUCCGUAGCUGGUCUGAGAGGAUGAUCAGCCACACUGGAACUGAGACACGGUCCAGACUCCUACGGGAGGCAGCAGUGGGGACUCUUGACCCCUGGGCGCGCGCCUGCUCCCGCCCUGCCGCGUGUGUGAAGAAGGCCUUCGGGUUGUAAAGCCCUUUUGUUGGGAAAGAACAGCAGCAAGUUAAUACCCCGCUGUUCUGACGGUACCCGACGAAUAAGCACCGGCUAACUUCGUG